AACGAACGCUGGCGGCAUGCCUAACACAUGCAAGUCGAACGAGACCUUCGGGUCUAGUGGCGCACGGGUGCGUAACGCGUGGGAACCUGCCCUUAGGCUCGGAAUAACUCCCCGAAAGGGGUGCUAAUACCGGAUAAUGUCUUCGGACCAAAGAUUUAUCGCCUUUGGAUGGGCCCGCGUUGGAUUAGCUAGUUGGUAGGGUAAAAGCCUACCAAGGCGACGAUCCAUAGCUGGUCUGAGAGGAUGAUCAGCCACACUGGGACUGAGACACGGCCCAGACUCCUACGGGAGGCAGCAGUGGGGAAUAUUGGACAAUGGGCGAAAGCCUGAUCCAGCAAUGCCGCGUGAGUGAUGAAGGCCUUAGGGUUGUAAAGCUCUUUUAACCGGGAUGAUAAUGACAGUACCGGGAGAAUAAGCUCUGGCUAACUCCGUG
rnacentral:rRNA from 1 species